GCAGGGAGGUGGCUGGAGCAGAACAAGCAAGGGAGAGCAGGAGGGUGCAGCAGAGGACAGGAGUGUCGCACCAAGGCCACUGAUGGGCUCUGACUCAGAGAUGAGGAAGGGAGCAGGUGAGCAGCCGGGGCAGGUGAGCAGCCGGGGCAGGUGAGGAGCCGGGGCAGGUGAGGUGCCGGGGCAGGUGAGGAGCCGGGGCAGGUGAGCAGCCGGGGCAGGUGAGGUGCCGGGGCAGGUGAGGAGCCGGGGCAGGUGAGGUGCCGGGGCAGGUGAGCAGCCGGGGCAGGUGAGGUGCUGCACAUGCACAUCUGGCUCUGCCUGGCGCCCGGCCCCAGCGUGUGACAGUGGGGGGUGGGGGCGGG